UAUGCUAACAUAAUCAACUGUUGUAUAACCUCAAUGAUAUGGUUUGAGGGUCUCUACCAGGAACCGAUAAUUCCUGAUUACAAAAAUGGCUAUUUUCAUU
rnacentral:ncRNA from 2 species